rnacentral:rRNA from 1 species
AUACGUAGGGGGCUAGCGUUAUCCGGAUUUACUGGGUGUAAAGGGCGAGUAGACGGCGAUGCAAGUCAGAUGUGAAAUGCUAGGGCUUAACCUUAGAACUGCAUCUGAAACUGUAUUGCUAGAGUGCAGGAGAGGUAAACGGAAUUCCUAGUGUAGCGGUGAAAUGCGUAGAUAUUAGGAGGAACACCAGUUGCGAAGGCGGCUCUCUGGACUGUAACUGACACUGAGGCACGAAAGCGUGGGUAGC